GACGGGCAGCUUCCCGGAAACGAAAGUUUUUCGGUUCCGGGGGAAGUAUGGUUGCAAAGCUGAAACUUAAAGAAAUUGACGGAAGGGCACCACCAGGAGUGGAGCCUGCGGCUUAAUUUGACUCAACACGGGAAAACUCACCUGGCCCGGACACCGUGAGGAUUGACAGAUUGAGAGCUCUUUCAUGAUUCGGUGGUUGGUGGUGCAUGGCCGUUCUUAGUUGGUGGAGUGAUUUGUCUGGUUUAUUCCGAUAACGAGCGAGACUCUAKSCUACUAAAUAGUUACUGAAUAAUUUUGUUCAGACAACUUCUUAGAGGGACAAGCGGUGUUUAGCCGCAUGAAGUUGAGCAAUAACAGGUCUGUGAUGCCCUUAAAUGUCCAGGGCUGCACSCGCGCUACACUGGAGGAAUCAGCGUGCUGUAACCAUUACCGAGAGGUACUGGUAACCCCUUGAAAAUCCUCCGUGAUCGGGAUCGGGAAUUGCAAUUAUUUCCCUUGAACKAGGAAUUCCUAGUAASUGUGAGUCAUCAGCUCACGUUGAUUACGUCCCUGCCCUUUGUACACACCGCCCGUCSCUGCCCGGGACUGAGCCGUUUCGAGAAAAGCGGGGACUGCUGUUUCGAUACCUUUCGAGGUGGAGAU
rnacentral:rRNA from 1 species